rnacentral:lncRNA from 1 species
UGAAAUAAGAAAAGAGUAUAACAGAGAUGUUAGCAUUUUCAGAGAGGGCAGACAAAAAACUGGUGAAAACACUGGUAAACACUGGCAAAUAAAAACAGACCUUGGGGUUGGUGACCAACAAAUCAUCACCCACAAUCUGAACCUCAGUUCCACACUCAGUGGUCAUCUUAGCAUAGUGCGCCCAGUCAUCUUGGUCAAAUGGGUCCUCAAUGGACACAAUUGGGUACUCGGAAACAAAGGACUUGUACAGGUCCUUGAGAGCAUCACCAGAAAUCUUCUGAGAACCAUCAUUGUUCUAUAGAGAAACAAAUAGCAUAACAACUAGAAGUUAAGAGCAUUUUUCUCGCAUUCAAUCCUGACAAGGAAGUGGUUACUAAGGAAAAGAAGUUGCACCUCCUCUUUGAAGUUCAAGUCGUAGGUCUUGUCUGAUGAGUAGAACUCUGAAGCGGCAACAUCCAUUCCAAUGACAACCUGGAAAAAAUUGAAUGGAAUCCAUUAGCUUCAUGAAUUAUGUUUCGGGUGAAAGGACAGCUAAACUACAUCAGGUAAGAGACAGACCUUUCCGGUGUAGCCAGCCUUCUCGAUAGCAGUCUUGAGCAAUUCAAGACCUUCCUUGUUCUCCUGAAUGUUUGGUGCAAAGCCACCUUCAUCACCAACAUUUGUGGCAUCCUGGCCGUACUUCUUCUUAAUCACAGACUGGAAAAACAUAUGAGAACAAGAGAUGGUUAAGCCAUAAAAGAAAACAUGUAAUACAUGUUAGUCGAGAAGAAUUAGAUACAGCAGCUACGAAUAGGUUAUACAUGUAUAUGGCAUAUUAUAUUGACGAGCAUCUCAUAGACCAAAAAGACUGGAGAUUUACCUUCAAGUGGUGGUAAACUUCCACACCCAUUUUCAUGGCUUCCGUGAAAGAUGAAGCUCCAACAGGGAGAAUCAUAAACUCCUGCAAACACCAAUAGCUCAAUAUAUAUUCAAAACUGAAGAAGCCUGCAAUUUAACAUGUCAAUUGAAAAGGAUCAAAAUGAACGCACCUGCAUAGCAAGCUUGUUUCCAGCAUGGGAUCCACCAUUGAUGACGUUGAAGGCAGGAACUGGAAGCACAAUCUUAGGGUUACCAGCAAGAUUGGCAAUGUGCUGCACCCAAAUACCACAUAAAGGGAAUAGCUUAGAACAUCUAGUACAAGAAAAACCAAGUAGCCAAAGCAGUAACAAUCUUAUCCUCCAUGGACAGAGGGAACCAACUUAAUAGUGGAAAAUCGUUCUACCUUGUAUAGAGGAAUGCCGCUGACAACAGCCCCAGCUUUGCAGACAGCA